UAGUGAUGUGAAUUGUCUGCUUUAUUGCGAUAACUAGCGAGACCACUGCGGCUUUGUACGACGACCGAGUGCGAAAGUGCUCGGCCGCUUCGUUAUAGCCGGACAGCGGCGGUCACGCCGAGGAAGUUGGUGGCGAUAACA
rnacentral:rRNA from 1 species